UUAUAACAGUAUCUCUCACUCAAAGAAGUUAUUUUUUAAGCUUCCGUUCAUCAUGACAGCAAAAUCUCUGCUUGUUGGUCCGCCGGCGCUCCGCCGUGAACCACCGUUAUCCGCCCUUACACUUAACGAUCCCGACACAGUCGAUAUCCCCAUCACCGGUCCAUCUGAUGAAAUAAAAAAUCUCGAUCUUUCAAAGCUUCCGUUAAGGGGUUUGACGGAGAACAAUUCGGCUACAUUCAUAUCAUCUGGUAAUCCUUGUUUGGAUUUCUUCUUUCAUGUUGUACCGGAUACAUCGCCGGAUGAUUUGAUCGGACGGCUGGAAUUAGCUUGGGCUCACAACCCGUUGACGGCUCUUAAACUGAUUUGCAAUCUCAGAGGUGUUAGAGGUACAGGUAAGUCUGAUAAAGAAGGGUUUUAUGCUGCUGCGUUUUGGUUACAUUAUAUGCAUCCUAAAACCCUUGCUUGUAAUGUUCAUGCUUUUGCUGAUUUUGGGUAUUUUAAGGAUCUGUUAGAAAUUUUGUAUAGAAUUCUUGAAGGGCCGUUUGUUAGGAAAAUGGAGAAAGAGGAGAGGGAGAAAGCGAGGGGUAGAGGAGGUGGUGGUCGUGGUAGGUUUAAGAGGGUGAGUAGGCCUAGUGAGGAUGGUAAGGAGAAGAAGAUGAAAGUUAAGAAAAAUUUAGAGGAAUUGAAGGAAGAAAUUAAGGCAGAGCAAGUGAAAGCAAGAGUUUUGAGGAAGGAGAAAGAGGUAGCUAAGGCGGAGAAGGCGUUUGAGAAGUACUAUUCCGAUGAGAAUUAUAGGCGUUUACAUGAUAAGAUAUCGGAUUUCUUUGCUGAGCAUUUGAGGGAGGAUCUAGAGAAGUUGAAUUCAGGGAAGAGUAAUGAGAUCAGUUUAGCUGCAAAAUGGUGUCCGACUGUUGAUUCUUCGUAUGAUAAGGCUACUUUGAUGUGUGAGAGCAUUGCGAAAAAGGUGUUUCCGAGAGAAAGUUAUAGUGAAUACGAUGGGGUUGAAGAGGGUCAUUAUGCUUAUAGGGUGAGAAAUAGAUUGAGAAAAGAUGUGCUUGUGCCUUUACACAAGGCAUUGGAAUUGCCCGAGGUGUAUAUGAGUGCUAAUAAAUGGAGUUCGUUGCCGUACAAUAGGGUGGCGUCAGUAGCUAUGAAGAACUAUAAAGGACACUUCUUUAAGCAUGACCAAGAAAGGUUUAAGGCAUAUCUUGAGGAUGUGAAGUCGGGGAAGGCAAAAAUUGCAGCUGGAGCUUUGCUGCCUCAUGAGAUUAUUGGGGCAUUGGAAGACGAAGAUGAUGGAGAAGUAGCUGAACUUCAGUGGAAAAGAAUGGUCGGUGAUCUUUGUAAGAAAGGAAAAUUAAGUGAUUGUAUUGCGGUAUGUGAUGUUUCUGGGAGUAUGAGUGGGAUACCGAUGGAGGUCUGUGUGGCACUUGGUGUCUUGGUUUCAGAAUUGAGUGAGGAACCAUGGAAGGGAAAAUUGAUCACAUUCAGUGAGUCACCUGAAAUGCAGAAAGUUGAAGGUGAUACUCUAAAAGAGAAGACCGAGUUUGUCAGAAAUAUGAACUGGGGUAUGAACACAAAUUUCCAGAAAGUGUUUGAUACUAUCUUGGAAGUGGCGGUACAAGGAAAUCUAAGUGAGAAUCAAAUGCUAAAGAGGGUGUUUGUGUUCAGUGAUAUGGAAUUCGAUCAGGCAUCAGAAAAUGCAUGGGAGACCGACUAUCAGGCAAUUCAACGAAAAUUUUCAGAGAAGGGAUACAACAAUGUGCCCGAGAUCGUGUUCUGGAACCUUCGAGACUCAAGGUCCACUCCAGUUUUGGAAAAUCAGAAUGGUGUAGCACUUGUGAGUGGGUUUUCUAAGAAUCUGUUGACCAUGUUCUUAGAGGGUGGUGGAGUUGUUAAUCCUGUGGAUGUUAUGGAGCUUGCUAUUUCCGGUGAAGAGUACCAGAAGCUAGUUGUUUUAGACUAAUGUAUGAGUCUCGGCACAUUAUUAUCCAACUCUGUUACAGUUUCUUAGAUGAAAGAAUUGUGUGUUUACUUACCGUCAACUGCUGACAUUAAGCUUUGUGUUAUGGUGAUCAUGUGUUUCGUGCUUCUUAUAACUGUUACAUCUUCUGGUUGAACAUGACUUCUUUACCUAGUUUUGUUCUCGGUUGAGUGUCGUUGAAGUAGUCAUCUGAUAUUUUGAAUAUCCCCUUCAAUGAGGAUGAACUUUCAGGCUCUUAAUCUGUUGAAUCUUCACUGAUCCAAGUUUUAUACAGUUCUGUAUUUUGGAGAUGUAUUGGACCAUUUUGCAACUUGUUAGCAUGUCAUAAGUUUGAUUAGCGAGCUGUUAUCAGAAUUAGAAAUAUAUGUGACAAGAAUCUCAAAUGUAUUUAGCAUUUGUUCAUAUCAUAUUGCUG
rnacentral:misc_RNA from 1 species